rnacentral:misc_RNA from 1 species
CCUUGGUAGAGUUUCCACUCCAAAUCAUCAAUUUAUGAUCCAGGGACAAACUUUGUGGCAUAGGCCCAAGCAUUGUUAGCAACAGGGUUGUCAAGGUGGUCCAAGAGGUUCUCCAGGGGACCCUUUCCAGUUACAAUAGCUUGAACAAAGAAACCAAACAUGGAGAACAUGGCUAGCCUGCCAUUUUUUAUCUCCUUCACCUUGAGCUCUGCAAAUGUAACAGGAUCAUCUGCAAGGCCUAGAGGGUCAAAGUACUGGCCACCAGGGUAAAGGUCAUUGCCCUCUCCUACUCCAGGGAGGCCAUUGAUGCGGA